AGGGUAAGUGGUUGUGGAGAUUCAUGAAAGAGGAAUGUGUGCUUUGGAGAAUUUUGAUAACAACAAAAUUUGGUAUUGAUAAGAGAGGUGGUUUGCUAGAGGAGGGUCAAGACCGCAUGAGAAAGGAUUAUGGAAAAAAACAGAGUGGGCCAAGAUAAGUUUCAGGUGCGCAUCAGGUGGAAGGUUGGCAAGGGAGACAAAAUCAGAUUGUGGAAGGAUCUGUAACUGGAAGGUGGUACCCUCAGAAACUAGUACCUUCAAAUUUUUGCCAUAAUUUAGCAGAACAAUAUCAAAAUUUGUGACUCUUUCAUGAAAGUGGACAGGAGGGAUAAGGAAUGGCAAGUU
rnacentral:lncRNA from 1 species